rnacentral:misc_RNA from 1 species
UCUCCGUAGGUGAACCUGCGGAGGGAUCAUUACUGAGUGAGGGCUCACGCCCGACCUCCAACCCUUUUGUGAACCACCUCGUUGCUUCGGGGGCGACCCUGCCGUCCGCGGCUGAGCGCCCCCGGAGGCCUUCAAACACUGCAUCUUUGCGUCGGAGUUUAAGUAAAUUAAACAAAACUUUCAACAACGGAUCUCUUGGUUCUGGCAUCGAUGAAGAACGCAGC